AUCGUUCAUCCUACCUAAGGUCGCAUGUCAAGGUCGCAUGUCGAUGCUAAGGGGGACGGAAGUAGGGACUACUCCCGAAGGAACGCGCC
rnacentral:ncRNA from 2 species